AGGUGAUCAAGGACAUUUAAGGAG
rnacentral:piRNA from 1 species